rnacentral:rRNA from 1 species
GACGAACGCUGGCGGCGUGCCUAAUACAUGCAAGUAGAACGCUGAAGGAGGAGCUUGCUUCUCUGGAUGAGUUGCGAACGGGUGAGUAACGCGUAGGUAACCUGCCUGGUAGCGGGGGAUAACUAUUGGAAACGAUAGCUAAUACCGCAUAAUAUUGACUAUUGCGUGAUAGUCAGUUGAAAGGUGCAACUGCACCACUACCAGAUGGACCUGCGUUGUAUUAGCUAGUUGGUGGGGUAACGGCUCACCAAGGCGACGAUACAUAGCCGACCUGAGAGGGUGAUCGGCCACACUGGGACUGAGACACGGCCCAGACUCCUACGGGAGGCAGCAGUAGGGAAUCUUCGGCAAUGGACGGAAGUCUGACCGAGCAACGCCGCGUGAGUGAAGAAGGUUUUCGGAUCGUAAAGCUCUGUUGUAAGAGAAGAACGAGUGUGAGAGUGGAAAGCUCACACUGUGACGGUAUCUUACCAGAAAGGGACGGCUAACUACGUG